AGCAGGAAGAAGGGAUCUGGGUAAGGAUGUGCCCAGCUCCACCCCCAGAGCCGCAGUGCAGGCAGGACAGCUCGGGUCACGCUCUUUUCUCUCCCUGAAAGUUUUAAGUGAAAUUAGAUAAAUAGAGGAAGAAUGGAGGGCAAAGGCAAGGGGAGUGAUGGAGGCAGCUUCCUCCGUGAAGGCCCAGCCCAGUGCAAUUAGCACAGCCAUUUGGGACCCGCUGUAACGUUUCUCUGUAAAUGCACGCUGCCGUAUCCCCGAGCUUCCUCUUUGAACAGCAACGCGUGCGGCUCCCGGCAGCGCCGGGUUUGGGGCUUUGGCUUUUUUGACGUUGGUGAUUCUGAAACCCAAUUUCUGGCUUUAUAAAAAUGCAUCACUACAGCAACCAAAAAAUUAAUUGCUUUGCAACAACGUGAUUAAAGCCGCGCCGAGGAACCGAGAAUAUAUCCAUGAGAAGCACACUGCAUAGCGUUCAAAUAAAAACGUUGUACUCUGAGAGCGUUUAACACCAGCUUGAAACUUUGCUAUGGUCCAAAUUCAGUCAAACCAAAUACACCGAACCGUUUCCUAAAGGAUUUGUUGUAUUUUUUGUGGCUUUUCUGAUCAGUUCUUUCUAUAAAGAGAGUGUAAAUGAAAGGAAAGAAACUCCACGACUCCCAGCUUAUGGUGCUGCGUAAUAUUUGAUGGGGAAAUUUAGAUAACCUCUGGAUAGUUCUGUAAAACAGUCGUUUAAGGGAGAGCUUUGAAAUGCAAAAUAGGAAAAAGCAAUGCAUUACCACUAAAUAAAUACUGCAGCCGCUAAGCCCGUAACAGCUACGGAAUCAGAACGUAAAAUCUUGUAGCAUAUGUGUUCUUAUGAUUGUAGUAUUUAAUAAGCGCUGACACGACACAGAAGGCCAAUUUUCUGUUUGAAAAAAGAAGCCUGUCCUUCUUAUAGUGAUAUAUAAGAGAUUAAAAUAAUUAGAGAGGAAUAUAAUUCAGGGGGUAAGACUGAAUAAUUUCAUUGUUAAUCUCAACACGAGGAGAAAAGCCAAUUCUCUUAAAAGAAACCUACAGGGUCUAACAGCUAGGCGAGUUUGGGUAUGACAAACAUACAACAGGGUGAUACGUACCCACAUUUUUUUAGCUGUUUUUUGAGUAGAAUGAAUGCACGAGUGAAUGAAAAUUACCCUUCCCACGUGUGAAGCGUUUCAAAAGUUUAAGGGAUCCCUCACGGAAAUGUUACCAUGCAGCACUGCGUGGCACGUCAGCUUCAUUAGCAAAAAUAAAGAGGUAUUCACCUUAAAUUUUUACUAGCCAUUAAUCACUUCCAACAACAAUGCUGGGAUCUGCAUACUCGCUUUAAAUUUCACUGCUUUUUCUCUACAAAGUAUACAAUCAUUGUAACUUCGGUGAAUAAAACAAAGCAUUGAACAAGCAGAAGUCUUUCCUUUACAGAGGCACGUUAUUGGGUGGAUGGAAGCAUCACAGGAGUCCUCCACGAAUAACAGAAAAAGCAGAGUUUUACAUAAAAUGGGUGCUGUAUUAGAAAGCAUCGACUGACAUCGGAGCUGGAACUGCCGAGUGGGAAAACUCACUUUACAGCUGAUUCUUUACAGCAAAUUUCUCGUCGCCAUUUUUAGUCCAUUUUCAACUUGCGACUCUGUUGGGAAAGCUUUGAUCUUUACCUCUGUACAAAAGGACACACACUACAGUGAGCGGAUGCAACCGAGACCAGGAAAAUUGCAGUAACUCGGAGGUUCUCAAUACAUACAAUAAUACUUCCCCCAUUUAUCUCUUUAAAAUAGAUUGAUGCUCGUCUGCCUUUUGUUUCUGCGGGUUUAAAUCAUUAACGGUCUUCGUGGAAAUACAUCCUAAUCGUGGCUACUCGCUUCAUUUCUGGGAAGGCAGCAGCAAAAUGGUCACUCUACACAAAGCAGAAUGCGACUCCCGCGUGCUGACCUUUGCACGUAGCGUGUUCUAAAUGGCAGCCCGCCUUGGACCCAACAAAUUAUUUCUGCCCGUGUUCAGUUAGGAUGGAUACGGCGUGUCCACAACCCAUGGUGAAGCACUAACGCAUCUUUACGUGCUUAUUCCUAAAUUAUACCAAGAAAGUAAAGUUUUCUUUUCCCUUCUAUUCUUUAAUAUAAUGGUCACAUCUGUGUUUAACACCUACCCAAAUGCAAGUUGCUGAAUGAUUAGAACCUUCUAACGCUUCAGAUGCGGUGAGUUCGUGCCGGGCAGCUUGCACGUUGCACACGUAACACGGGUACAGGUAGCAGCACCAGGGGUCACGCUGGCGCAUCUCCUGGACACCGCGCCCCUCCACACCUCGUGCUAUUUUCCUUCGUGUGAACGGAAUGCCUAAUUUUGUAAUUCCUCAGAGUGGAAAGGAAGGGGGGGGAGAAUUCCACCAACUCUUGUAUUCAUUUUAUUGGUUUUAAUUGCAUUAUCACCUUUGGAGACUUUGGUAAAUUCCACUUAGCUAGCAGCCAUGGGUAGCGGUGGUGGUUUUCAAGUACAGCUCCUGUUACUCAUGUUGGCAUUUAAAUGUUAAUUUCCAACCGAGGUUUACAGUAAACACCAAACAAGGGAUUUUCUUUGAAUGAACCAUCUCAGACCAAAAUUCUAAAGGAAAGGAUCCUACCCGGGAUAUUUUUAAGCGCGGUGAUUAUUUCCUUGUGAAAGACUUAACAUUCCCUAAGUGAUAGAAGCUAAAAGAUUUACAUGUGACAGUUAAUUUAUAAUUCUCUACAUUAAAAAGACAUUUAAACGUUAACCACAUUUUUAUGUGAGUCAAGUCAAAGCAAUGAUAAUUACAGUAUGAUACAAAAGAACCUGAAAUAAACUUCCAGCAAACCAUAUUGAAUAUUAACGUCGUGUUAAGCCCCGAAAAGCUGCGUUAGUAAACUCUGGAAUUUAGAUUAUAUGCAACUUCAACAUAACAUCGGGCUUUUCUUUAAAGCACACAUCACUGCAAAGGUUGGAUCCGGGGGAGGUACGUAUUAAUUGGCCGGAUUUUUAUUAAAUACAUUUACAUAGCAUCAUGCCAAAACCAAGCCUCGGAUUACUCUUUCUGCACAGGCAUACCUCAGCGUGGGAUUUGCCAAAUUAACAUUCCAUAUAAAUUAACAGCCUUUUCUCAUGUUUGUGGUGUUACGAUGAGCAGCGUGAUACUGUAUCGUGUCGCUGCUCACGUGUAUUUGAUUUCAAUUUAGGAAUCGUAUCUCUGCUACCCACCACAUAGGAGAAACGACGUGCUGAAUUUCCCAUCAAAUAUCUUAAAUACAGACCUAUUUUAGGUGGAUUUGUAUAAACAAAACACAUAUCUCAUAUGGGCGUGGGAAAGGAAAAGCUGGUUUGGUAUAUGCUAGAGCAAACUGGAGUAAAUCAACCGCAUCCAUGGGCUGUAUCAGCAGUACCGCUCUGCUUUUCCCAGUACCAUUUGGACACAACAAUGUUACUUUUUUAUUUAAAGUGUUUUCUUCUCAACAAGGGGCCACCACUUCCCAAUCGCAAAAACACGCCCCAGAAUAUGUUAAUUAAUUGUAUUGUGCCUCUGAAAGAAAAGAGGUUGCCAAAUGCAAUAAAAAAAAAAAAAGAGAGAGAGAGAGAGAGAGGUCUUUCGAUCAGAGGGCUCCGUUCCCACUGGUUACCAUCUAAUUUCAAUUCCCCACAUACGGACGUGGAAGAAAUAUAUCUGUGUAGAUUGUGACCGUGAGGAACUGCCUGAGAGCCAAAGGCCGGCGCGGCCACGCUGGGAUCUGGGCAGCCUCACGUUGCUGGAGGACGGAGGGCGCGAGCCUCGGCCCGCGGUUUGUCACCCUUACGUGGGCACUGCAGAGUGGGAACGUGGGGCAUUUUCAUCCCAUGUUGCUUCCCAUUACGUGUAACAACGGGGCUGCUUCCCACCCCCC
rnacentral:lncRNA from 1 species